GCCACGCCUAGUUCGACGGGGCAAAAAGCGGGAUACCCUCUGAUCUCGCCUGGCGUGGUUUCUUCUUUCAUAAGAGG
rnacentral:sRNA from 1 species